rnacentral:rRNA from 2 species
UUAAAUUGAAGAGUUUGAUCAUGGCUCAGAUUGAACGCUGGCGGCAGGCCUAACACAUGCAAGUCGAACGGUAACAGGAAGCAGCUUGCUGCUUUGCUGACGAGUGGCGGACGGGUGAGUAAUGUCUGGGAAACUGCCUGAUGGAGGGGGAUAACUACUGGAAACGGUGGCUAAUACCGCAUAACGUCGCAAGAC